rnacentral:rRNA from 1 species
GGAGGGGGCGAGCGUUAUUCGGAAUUAUUGGGGCGUAAAGGGCAGGUAGGCGGCUUUGUAUGUCUCCUGUGAAAGCCCUCGGGCUCAACCGAGGGAAUUGCAGGGGAAACUGCGGAGCUUGAGUCCGGGAGAGGCUAGUGGAAUUCCCAGUGUAGCGGUGAAAUGCGUAGAUAUUGGGAGGAACACCAGUGGCGAAGGCGGCUAGCUGGACCGGUACUGACGCUGAGCUGCGAAAGCUAGGGGAGCGAACGGGAUUAGAUACCCCGGUAGUCCUGGCUGUAAACGCUGAGCACUUGGUGUGGCGGGUAUCGACCCCUGCCGUGCCGAAGCUAACGCAUUAAGUGCUCCGCCUGGGGAGUACGGUCGCAAAGGCUGA